rnacentral:rRNA from 1 species
AACGAACGCUGGCGGCAGGCUUAACACAUGCAAGUCGAACGGUUGUAGCAAUACAGCAGUGGCGCACGGGUGAGUAACGCGUGGGAACGUGCCUUGAAGUUGGGAAUAACGUCGGGAAACUGACGCUAAUACCCGAUACGCCCUCCGGGGGAAAGAUUUAUCGCUUCAAGAUCGGCCCGCGUUAGAUUAGCUAGUUGGUGGGGUAAUGGCCUACCAAGGCUCCGAUCUAUAGCUGGUCUGAGAGGAUGACCAGCCACACUGGAACUGAGACACGGUCCAGACUCCUACGGGAGGCAGCAGUGGGAAUAUUGGACAAUGGGGGAAACCCUGAUCCAGCCAUGCCGCGUGAGUGA